GACUGCUUGGCGCAAUGGUAGCGCGCGGUCCUCCUAUUAUAGUCUAGUUAAUUCUGGCUGUUAUAGGCAGUGAUAGACUGAGGUUGCGGGUUCGAGUCCCGUGGUGGUCG